UUAAGUAAGGAAGGGCGUACGGCGAAUGCCUGGCCACUCGAAACUGAAGAAGGACGCGCCAAACUGCGAAAAGCUCCGUGAAGCUGUAAGGAAGCGAAGAAGCGGAGGUGUCCGAAUGGGGGAACCCGGCAGCAGACAUGAGCUGUCAUCUGCAGGUGAAUACAUGGCCUGCAAGAGAGGUACCCGGCGAACUGAAACAUCUAAGUAGCCGGAGGAAAAGAAAACAACAGUGAUUCCCUGAGUAGCGGCGAGCGAAAGGGGAGAAGCCCAAACCGGUCCGAGGACCGGGGUUGAAGGACCAUGAAGUGGCAAGAGCGAGGAUAGGAGAACGGGAUCGAAAGCCCGGCCGAAGAAGGUGCAAGCCCUGUAACCGAAAUCCGAGUAAAGCCUAAUGGGAUCCUGAGUACGGCGAGACACGAGGAAUCUUGUCGGAAGCAGGCGGGACCAUCCGCCAAGGCUAAAUAUAAACGAGUGAGCGAUAGUGAACCAGUACCGUGAGGGAAAGGUGAAAAGAACCGCGGGAGCGGAGUGAAAGAGAACCUGAAACCGUAUGCCUACAAGAAGUCAGAGCCCGUUAAGGGGUGAUGGCGUGCCUUUUGUAGAAUGAACCGGCGAGUUGCGACAGACUGCGAGGUUAAGGAGGAAAGACCGGAGCCGAAGCGAAAGCGAGUCUUAAGAGGGCGAAAGUAGGAUGUUGCAGACCCGAAACCGGGUGAUCUAGCCAUGAGCAGGUUGAAGUUGAGGUGAAACUCAAUGGAGGACCGAACCGACUACCGUUGAAAAGUUAGCGGAUGACUUGUGGCUAGGGGAGAAAUUCCAAUCGAACCCGGAGAUAGCUGGUUCUCCCCGAAAUAGCUUUAGGGCUAGCGUCGGAAAGAACCUUAGUGAAGGUAGAGCACUGAAUGUGUGAUGGCCCCAUCCCGGGGUACUGAAUACAAUCAAACUGCGAAUGUCAUUAAGGAUGUCCGGCAGUCAGACUGUGAGUGAUAAGGUCCAUGGUCAAGAGGGAAACAGCCCAGACCGCCAGUUAAGGUCCCAAAAUACAGGCUAAGUGGAAAAGGAUGUGGGGAUGCCCAGACAACUAGGAGGUUGGCUCAGAAGCAGCCAUCCUUUAAAGAGUGCGUAACAGCUCACUAGUCGAGUGACCCUGCGCCGAAAAUGUACCGGGGCUAAGCCUGAUACCGAAACUGCGGAUUGUAGGAAACUAUAGUGGUAGGGGAGCGUUGUAUACGAGUAGAAGCCGUACCGUGAGGAGCGGUGGAUUGUAUAGAAGUGAGAAUGCCGGUGUGAGUAGCGAGAUGUAGGUGAGAAUCCUACACACCGAAAGCCCAAGGAUUCCAGGGGAAGGUUCGUCCGCCCUGGGUAAGUCGGGACCUAACGCGAGGCCGAAAGGCGUAGUGGAUGGAAAGCAGGCGAAAGAUUCCUGCACCCGUAUAUGGAGCGAAGGAGUGACGGAGACGGAUAGUGUGACCCUCUUAAUGGAUUGAGGGCGAAGCGAAGCGGCUGGUUACCAGGCAAAUCCGGUAACUGAAAGGCUAGAGCGUGACAGGUAAGCGAAAUCCAAGGAAAGUAGCGAAGCACAUGAUGACGGCUUCCAGGAAAAGCUUCUGGCAAUGCAUAUGCGGCCCGUACCAAAACCGACACAGGUGGGCAGGGAGAGAAUCCCGAGGUGAGCGAGAGAACUGUUGCCAAGGAACUCGGCAAAAUGACUCCGUAAGUUAGCGAGAAGGAGUGCUUAAGCAAUUAAGCCGCAGUGAAGAGGCCCAAGCGACUGUUUAACUAAAACACAGCUCUCUGCGAAGUCGCAAGACGAAGUAUAGGGGGUGACACCUGCCCGGUGCUGGAAGGUUAAGAGGAUCUGUUAAGAGCGAUCUGAAGCAGUGAUCCGAAGCCCCAGUGAACGGCGGCCGUAACUAUAACGGUCCUAAGGUAGCGAAAUUCCUUGUCAGGUAAG
rnacentral:rRNA from 1 species